UACAUGGGGUGCAAACGUUGCUCGGAAUUAUUGGGCGUAAAGCGCACGUAGGCGGUUCGUUAAGUCGGAUGUGAAAGCCCUCGGCUCAACUGAGGAAGUGCACCCGAAACUGGCGAGCUUGAGUACGAAAGAGGAUCGCGGAAUUCCCGGUGUAGAGGUGAAAUUCGUAGAUAUCGGGAGGAACACCGGUGGCGAAGGCGGCGAUCUGGGUCGAUACUGACGCUGAGGUGCGAAAGCUGGGGGAGCAACCGG
rnacentral:rRNA from 1 species